GGCACAGGUUUGAAGUAGAGUAGAUUAGUAGUAUCAGCUAACCCUACUAUUUCUCUCUACUUCAAGUUUGUGCCC
rnacentral:pre_miRNA from 1 species